AUUGAACGCUGGCGGCAGGCUUAACACAUGCAAGUCGAACGAGUGGCGGACGGGUGAGUAAUGCUUGGGAAUCUAGCUUAUGGCGGGGGAUAACUACGGGAAACUGUAGCUAAUACCGCGUACCAUAGGAUGAGCCCACGUGGGAUUAGGUAGUGGGUGAGGUAAAGGCUCACCAAGCCGACGAUCUCUAGCUGGUCUGAGAGGAUGACCAGCCAAACUGGAACUGAGACACGGCCCAGACUCCGACGGGAGGCAGCAGUGGGGAAUAUUGCGCAAUGGGGGCAACCUGACGGAGCCAUGCCGCGUGAAUGAAGAAGGCCUUCGGGUUGUAAAGUUCUUUCGGUAGCGAGGCGUUAACUAAAGAAGAAGCAACGGCUAACUACGUGCCAGCAGCCGCGGUAAUUC
rnacentral:rRNA from 1 species